GAAGGUCAGGCUGAAGACCUUACCCGAUUAGCUGAGAGGUGGUGCAUGGCCGUCGUCAGUUCGUACUGUGAAGCAUCCUGUUAAGUCAGGCAACGAGCGAGACCCACGUCCACAGUUGCCAGCAUACCCUCCGGGGUGAUGGGUACACUGUGGAGACCGCCGCUGCUAAAGCGGAGGGAAGGAGUGGGCAACGGUAGGUCAGUAUGCCCCGAAUCUCCCGGGCUACACGCGGGCUACAAUGGUUGGUACAAUGGGCAUCUACCCCGAAAGGGGAAGGAAAUCUCUUAAAGCCAACCGUAGUUCGGAUUGAGGGCUGCAACUCGCCCUCAUGAAGCUGGAAUCCGUAGUAAUCGCGUUUCAACAGAACGCGGUGAAUACGUCCCUGCUCCUU
rnacentral:rRNA from 1 species